GCCGUAGUCCGGAAGUCAUUUUACACUGCCUCUGAAAUAUCAAUCUCUUGCUUUGUUGAGUCCUGCAAAGUGUUUCCCGUCUUCAAGCCGUCCAUAGCGUUCCUACUCGUAUGGAUUCUUCAUUCAUCACUCCAAGCGACAUUUGUAGCCAGGGACUGCAGAUGGAAAUGAGCUAUUUUGUUGGGAUGUGGCAUGGCUGCAGUUGUGUGUCCCCGAGUAUGCAAGAAUCCAGGAGAGUAGAGUGAAGCCCCCCGGGAGGCGGCGUGGCCCCCACCUAGCCUCCAGAGAGAAGGUCUUGGAAGAGCGUAAUGAAGGCAGAAGAAGGAGCAUUAAUGGACUUCACCUUCCUGCUUUCAUCGCUGCUGGAAAUGGUGCAGGGGGAGACCCCCGUGCCCACCGCUAAGUAGCGCACACACACACAUGCGUAUGGCUGGAAAUACUAUCACAACACACA